rnacentral:rRNA from 1 species
CCUACGGGCGGCUGCAGUGGGGAAUAUUGGACAAUGGGCGGAAGCCUGAUCCAGCCAUGCCGCGUGUGUGAAGAAGGCCUUCGGGUUGUAAAGCACUUUCAGUGGGGAAGAAAGCCUUGGGGCUAAUACCCUCGAGGAAGGACAUCACCCACAGAAGAAGCACCGGCUAACUCCGUGCCAGCAGCCGCGGUAAUACGGAGGGUGCGAGCGUUAAUCGGAAUUACUGGGCGUAAAGCGCGCGUAGGCGGUCUGAUAAGCCGGUUGUGAAAGCCCCGGGCUCAACCUGGGAACGGCAUCCGGAACUGUCAGGCUAGAGUGCAGGAGAGGAAGGUAGAAUUCCCGGUGUAGCGGUGAAAUGCGUAGAGAUCGGGAGGAAUACCAGUGGCGAAGGCGGCCUUCUGGACUGACACUGACGCUGAGGUGCGAAAGCGUGGGUAGCAAACAGGAUUAGAUACCCGAGUAGUC